CUGUCUUCAAGAUGCGUGCAGCUUCACAGAGGAGGAAUAUAGGAAAAAGACUUCUCAAGUACACUGAUAGAGAUUUUUUUACAGAGCUGUAUAAACAUGUUGUGGCAACAGAGAGAAUUCACACCUAGUGAAGUCUGGUUAGUACGAAAAGGCCACAAUCGGCUCACUGUUGAGGUUGGUGGGACAACAUGCUGGUGCGUUCAUGGAUUUGCUCUGGUCAUUAUCACCUCAGCCAGUUUUAUCUAACCUGUUGCCCUGGCAUUGACUCAAUACAGCUUGUGGAUGAAGGUGCUCAUGUGACAGGUGGUGAAGAACUCCUCAGUGGAUGCUUCUUCUAGGCUAAGAACUGAAAACUUUGAGCCCCUAGACGUCUCAGCAACCCCAUGGGGUCAACGCAAGUAGUGAAUUGUAUUUCUUCCCAUUUCUCUACACCAAAGGCAAGAAAAGCCCAGAUUUGAAACUUGAAAGGAAAAUAAAUCUUAACUGUGAACACUGUUUUUCAAUCAACAUUGACCGCCCACUCUUCCUGAAUAUUCCACCUGAGCACUCUUUUUCUAUUAGCGUCAAGAAAUUGCUGAAGGAAGAAAUGUUAGAUCUGGUUUUUAAUUAACUUUGCCAUUGAUUUCUACAUAACUGGGUACGAGUCACUGUUCUUUCGUGAAAGGGAUGAAAAUCUCAAAGAUUAAUGGUUGU